UUCCGCUUCGGAGGACUUGGGAGCCCGACGUUUCCGGGAGCGCCCCGUGGAGUUAGUGUUGGCCGCUUUUGGCAUGGCGGCGUUUUCUGGUCCGGCUGCGCCAGUCUUGUCGCUUAACCCGCAAGAAGAUGCCGAGUUUCAAAAGGAGGUGGCGCAGGUUCGCAAGCGCGUAACCCAGUGAAAAAAACGAGAACAACUUACUCCUGGAGUCGUCUGUGUGCGCCACCUGCCUAACCUACUUGACGAAACCCAGAUCUUUUCCUAUUUCUCCCAGUUUGGCACUGUGACACGUUUCAGACUGUCCAGAAGUAAAAGGACUGGAAACAGCAAAGGCUAUGCAUUUGUGGAGUUUGAGUGUAAGGAUGUUCCAAGACAGUUGCUGAAACAAUGAACAACUACCUGUUUGGUGAAAGGCUCUUGGAGUGUCGUCUUAUGCCACCUAAAAAAGUCCAUAAAGAACUCUUUAAAGACUGGAAUAUUCCAUUGAAGCAGCCGUCAUAUCCAUCAGUGAAACGUUAUAAUCAGAAUCGGACACAACCACAAAAACUACGGAUGGAGGAGCGAUUUAAAAAGAAAGAAAGGUUACUCAGGAAGAAACUAGCUAGAAAGGGAAUUGAUUAUGAUUUUCCUUCUUUGAUUUUACGGAAAACGGAAAAGUAUUUCAAAAACUAAUCAUCAGAAGUCUACAAAAGGCCAGGUUUUACGUAAGAAGAAGGAAAAGGCUGUAGGCACUCUUGACACUGCUGAGAAGACUGUGGAUAGCCAGGGCCCCACACCAGUUUGUACACCAACAUUUUGGAGAGACGAAAAUCUGAAGUGACUGAAAUGAAUGAAGAUGAUACAGAUAAUGAAAGUUUUCAAACAGCCCGUGUCCUGUGUAAAAGAAGAAAUAUAGAGGACUCAAACACCUACGCAUUCACGGAAGAAAAGACGAGGCAAAAGCAAUCAGUCAUUUUUAAUGUAUUGUAUUUUCUGAGACAUACAAUAUUUUUAUGGGGGUGGACUUACUAUUUUACUAUGUACAGUGAAAUGUAACCCUUGACAGGAUUGUCAGAGGAAAAAUACACUGUUUGGUCCAGUUAAGGAAAGCAGUCUGUAAUUCUGGAUUGCCUGCCCUUGGCUGAAAUACAAGGGUGUAUUUGCAGUGGCUUGGCUGACAUUGCCUCUUUGUCCUGUUCUCUGUUUUUCUUUUGACAUUUCAUAGCUCUCCUUAGUUACUCUGCCUGGAUAGAAAGGUGACCACUAAGUGCAGGUUUAAGCACUAAACUGCAGGCUUUUCUGUCACCACCAGUUAAAGACCACCAAUCUUGUUUGUCCGUCUGCAUGAUUUGUCAGGGACAUUAACUCAUGAGGGCGCUUUAGAUUUCAACACCGCAUGGUUGAAGCUGGAAGUUAAAUUAUAUGUAGAGUGAGAAGGCAGUUCCAGUGUUAGCACAGAUUUGUGUAUUCAGAUUUUAAGAGAUUCAAAAAUGACUCAUUUUUACGAACAAUUUUAAAUUAGUUUUCAUUGGGCUAGCAUGGAUUAAUAACCACCAUUUUAUACAUCAGUGAGGAAUUGUAUUUCAAGAUUCAAACAAUAACUAGCAAAUAAACUUUUUUCUACAAUUUAUUUGUUUGCGAAUAGGACUUGGGGGUCAUUGGGGAAAAAUAAUGGUAAAGUUUCCUCUUCAUUA